UGCUCUGGAUGUUUAUAUAUUUAAACUUUACACAGAAAUUCUCAUUUUCAAAUAAUUAAAUCACAGAAUUAAUUUAAGGACAAUAUAAUUGGAAACAUACUAUUUCUUAAUACUAGUCUACAGCACAUUAAAAGUAUUUUUAUCAUGUGAUUCUGAUGGUGCUGGUUUGGUGUUAUGCAAAUGAAAAGAAUCAUGUUAUAAAGUCUUGAUCUGAUGCUGUCAGCUGCAGAGGAGGAGAAACUCCCAUCAGAUCAUCUUCAACACCAACAUGUUCUCUGUAGCUCUGCUGCUGCUGGCUGCUGCUUCCAGUAUAAAGUGUGAACAGCUGACACAGCCAGCCUCUGAGACUGUGCAGCCAGGUCAACGUCUGACCAUCAGCUGUCAAGUCUCUUAUUCUAUGAACAGCUAUGCAACACACUGGAUUAGACAGCCUGCUGGGAAAGGACUGGAGUGGAUUGGGGGGAAAUAUACUGGAGGUUCUAGCUACAAAGAUUCACUUCGGAACAAAUUCAGUAUCGACUUAGACACUUCCAGUAAAACAGUGACUCUGAAUGGACAGAAUAUGCAGCCUGAAGACUCUGCUGUGUAUUACUGUGCCAGAGAGUCACAGUGACACAAACCAGCUGCAGAGCUGAACAAAAACCCCUCAGAACAUAAACAGAUUAUAUCAAACCACCAAAGGAGGAGCUUUGAGUUCAUUUUUAAUAUUUGGAAACUUUGUCAACCUUUUUUCGCUCUUUGUAAAAAUAUAGCAGAAAUAGAUCAUUACAACAAAAAUACAGUUUUUGUCUCAUCUUCUUAUAUGUUGAAUUAAAAUAAACAAAAGUAAAAUGCCUCAUUUGUGUGUAUAGAGUUGGUGAAUGAAGCUGAAUCUGAUUCAGAAAAUUGAAACUGUUAUUUUUAUAAUGUAUUCAAGGUGACAUUUACUUAAAUCAUGAUUUUAUAUAAAUAAUGUGUUUCAACUUCUUC